UUGCCAGCUUAGUGAUCUGCUUAUCUGAAUGUGUUUCUGCAGAAAUUUAGAGAAAGUUGUCAAUAAUAAAGCCAUGUUAAAAGCCUUAAGACAUUGAGGGCAUUAGGUCCCUGAAAAUGGCUACCAAA